UGGUGGGAUGGACAGAGAAACGUCACUAUGGCAGUAACUCAUUGGUCCUUGGAUAACUUCAGUAAACCUUGCUGAUAUAGUCAGCUCACUGCAGAGGUACUGCUCUGGUCUAAUUUCACCCAUUUGGAUCUGCAGUAAGUGCCACUUGAACAGCCAGUUGAGGGGCUUUGGGCAUCUGAACGUGACACCUCAUGGACCUUCUGUGGCAGAUGUUCUGUAUAGGUGGAGGCCCAAGGGCAGGCCCGCGGCAUGCUGACGAGAUGAAGAGAUGUGAUGAGCCGGGCAUGAGAGAGAGAGGGAGGUUUCAACUCAGGACGAGUAUGUUGAGCCAGAUCUGAGAUGAUGCGGCGGCCCUCAUUAUAGUAAUCGAUGACAGCGAUCCAGUUCAUUACCAGCCUGUGAAAGUCCUCCAGAAUGACUUUGUGGAGGUCUCCAAAGAACUGCUGAUGAACUUCUUGGUAAUGUUUGGAGUGAUCUACGCACUUCAUCUACAAUACUACAAUUAUUACCAAGGGACUGAACAACACUGUAUUCUUUCAGAGUACAACAGUCGGGAAGCUGGUAAACUGUUCCCUAACUUAGAUACUUAAGAGUCUGGAUCACUG